AGAAUCACGAUAUGAUUUAUUGAACUGUUUAAUUUCUUUUCAAAAUUUGCAAGUUCCACAAAAUUUUUCUUUUAUUUUAGCUAGUUUUCUGCACUGCACACAAAAGUUGAUAAAUCAAUAAUGUCAAGUUGGUACUUUUAUAAUCCAAGUUUUCAUGGCCUAAUGAAUUUUAUGUCAAAAUCUUUCCACUGCAUUUAUAUAGAAAGAUUUGAUACAAUUUCAUUAUAUUUUUUCAUAUUUAGUGUGGCUGUAAAGAAGCCUGUGGG
rnacentral:misc_RNA from 1 species